rnacentral:rRNA from 1 species
AGGGAUUGCCUCAGUAACGGCGAGUGAAGCGGCAACAGCUCAAAUUUGAAAUCUGGCCUCUGGCCCGAGUUGUAAUUUGUAGAGGAUGCUUUUGGUGAGGUGCCUUCCGAGUUCCCUGGAACGGGACGCCAUAGAGGGUGAGAGCCCCGUCUGGUCGGACACCGAUCCUCUGUAAAGCUCCUUCGACGAGUCGAGUAGUUUGGGAAUGCUGCUCUAAAUGGGAGGUAUAUGUCUUCUAAAGCUAAAUACCGGCCAGAGACCGAUAGCGCACAAGUAGAGUGAUCGAAAGAUGAAAAGCACUUUGAAAAGAGGGUUAAACAGUACGUGAAAUUGUUGAAAGGGAAGCGCUUGUGACCAGACUUGGGCAUGGUCAAUCAUCCAGUGUUCUUCACUGGUGCACUUGGCCGGCCUAGGCCAGCAUCAGUUCGGCGCGGGGGACAAAGGCUUCGGGAAUGUGGCUCCCCCGGGAGUGUUAUAGCCCGUCGCGUAAUACCCUGCGCUGGACUGAGGUUCGCGCAUCUGCAUGGAUGCUGGCGUAAUGGUCAUCAGCGACCCGUCUUGAAACACGGACCAAGGAGUCGUCUUCGUAUGCGAGUGUUCGGGUGUCAAACCCCUACGCGGAAUGAAAGUGAACGCAGGUGAGAGCUUCGGCGCAUCAUCGACCGAUCCUGAUGUUCUCGGAAGGAUUUGAGUAAGAGCAUACGGGGCCGGACCCGAAAGAAGGUGAACUAUGCCUGUAUAGGGUGAAGCCAGAGGAAACUCUGGUGGAGGCUCGCAGCGGUUCUGACGUGCAAAUCGAUCGUCAAAUAUGGGCAUGGGGGCGAAAGACUAAUCGA